UCUCUUACUCCACAGAGUGAAUGAAGAAACUGAACCCUGGUUCUCCUUACUGUACGUUACUGAGCCUAAUGGAGGGGAGGCUGGCUAGUCUAAAGGAUCUGUGUCAAUCAUCGUAAACAAGGACUAGUCAUAAGUCUGUACCCAGUAACACUCGCAGAGUCCGUGGCAGAUAACCAGUUAUGUUAAGAUAAAAAUGUUUCACACAUGAAAUAUAUUCAUUAAUUUUUCCUAGGUCUUGUACUCUAUGGGAUUUUUGUUUAUUAUGUAAUUUCACAGACAACCUCUCCUUUAGUGAAUUAGUCAAAUUAAUUAAUACCAUAAUUUAAUUCAAAUUAUGGACCCUUAGGACUUUUCCUAAGCAUCUAAUGUGGCUAAUUUUCACAUGUAAAUUCUGGUGACUGGCGCAUGGUCUUGCUGGGAAUCCCCACCUUUGUGCGUAGGAUGGGAAAACGAUGCGUAGAAGCUUCUGUGUCUUCUGUAGAAGAAAGUCCCAGCUCUGCCGAAACUGCCAGUGCUUGCAGUCAAUGCUGCGCACUCAUUUCCUACUGUCUUUUAACAGCUUGUAAAUACUAUGAUUUUUAGCACACUUUAAUGGCCUAUGCUUUCAUAGAAUAAUUGACAGGGAGCUCUCUGUUUUGUGCAUUGAACCAAACUUCUAAAAAAACUCCCUUAUGUUCAUAGAUUUUAUUGAUUAUUUAUUUAGUAGACCCCUGAUCCUACCUUCCUCAUACUAUGUAGUAUGUAGUAGUGUGUAAUGUUUGUUAGCAGAUGGUGAACAAGCCACAGCCCAGCAUGUCUGUGGCUCUGUUAUCCGAUGAAGUUAGCGGUUUUUACACUCUAAGUUGGUCUGCCUCUCCUGGCAUGGGAGGUGAAGUUUUAUUGUUUAAAGAGCCCUACAGAGGCUCAAAAGCUUUGCUUUGCUGUCAUCUGGAAGUUAUGACUUGAAGACACUUUAUUUUCCUUCCUCGAUCAUAAUUUAUGUUCAAUUAGUCUACAAGAUUAUUAUUUCCUCAAAGAAUGUCUCUGCUGCUUACAAAAUUAUAAUCUACCAAUGUGGAAAUAAAAGUAUUGACUAUCUUUUAUAUUUGUAAUUUCACACAAACAUAAUUUCAGAAGAAACAGCAUUUCUUUUCAUGCCUUUCAAUGUGUACCAUGGAACAUAAGAGGGUGUGUGCCGUUCUUCACGCAGGCUUGAGGAGUCUGAGCUUAGCUCCCAGAUCACCCCUGGAACUCACAGUGGUCGCCCUGUUUGUUAUCUCUCUGAGAUUGUUUUGUCUUCUUUGUAUCCUUUUCUAUGGCAGUCCAUCUCUCCACAGAGCUGCACACACAGAGCAAAAGCAGGCCUACUGGGAGCAUGGUAGCAAGGUUGAUCCAGCACCGAGCACUCCUUGCAACUUACAGCACAGAACCUGAGUUUUGUCAGUCCUAGUAGAUUUAAACUUGUAUAAAGCAGUGGUGUUGAUAGCUUAACACGAUGUUACUUUCCUCUUAGUCUUCUGUUUAUUUUUAUAGGCACUUUUAUUUUGGGAUUUUACUGAUAAAUACUGUAUUAUUUAUAUAAUUUCCAUCCACCCUUCCUUCUAACCCCUUCAGCAGCUGUGUUGAUCUCCACUUCCUCUCACCUGCACGGCCUGCUUAUAAAUUAUUAUUCUUAUACAUUCACAUACACACUCAUAAAUACAGUGUGCUGAGUCCAUUUAACAUUGCAUAUGUAUAUGUGUUCAAGGUUGACCUUGGGAUCCGAUAACCUAGGCUAGCGGUCUCAGAAGAAAAGGGACUCUUCCUCUGUCUGUCGGCCUCUCCUGGCCUGAGCUCGCCCUGUGCGGCUGAGACCUUGUGUGAUUCUCUCAGCUGGGUCCUCCCAGGAGCCUGCCAGUCUGCUGCUGUCACCACUGUGCGGGGCUUGUUGGAGGCAGUCAUGUUAGGAUGUUAUGGGUGCAGCUUCUUUGUCAUGCUUUGAAGACACUAUCCUGCAGCACUCUCUUUAUUCUUAAUUCAUUCUGUUUCUCUCUUCUGUAGAACACCCUAUUUUAUGUUUUCUUUAAAUAUCUGUAUUAUUUUAGAAAACCAAAAAUUGGUGUUUUAAAAUGGUAAGUUCUCCAUUAGUAGAUUAUGUUUAGUUACACUGAUGCCUAAUAAUAUGGGCUCAGUUUCUGAUGUACAGUGUUUUCAAAGUUUGUUCUCCAUAGGUUUUCCCAAGUGGCUUUGUAGUCAUAGCUGAUAGACUGGGUACAGUUAUAGGAACUUUUAUUCCAACAGGCGUCAUUAAUUUGUAAAGAAGCAUGUCAAAUCAUACAUGUUCUGUUGAUGCUGAAAAAAGUAUUCAAAAUCUCACCAAUAAUUAAAAUAGAAUAGAUAAAAUAAUAUUUUUAAAUAUGCUAAUAUUUAAUGUAUAUUAAUCUUUUUAAUCUUUGAAAAAUAUGUGAUCCGACGUUAAAUUUCCCCAGAUUAUGUAGUUUUACAGAGGUCACUGGCGCAUGCUGGCAGACACGCCCCAGCUUUCAUGUUUGAAUGCAACUGACUGGGAAUGAAGUGCAUUUCCUUGGAGCUUCUCUCAUUUCAUGUUUGUGUAGCUGCGAAGAAAGAAGGCAGGAACACUAACAGCAGAAGAUAUUUGGUGGGGGAAGUCAUUCUUUAUGCUUUUGCUUUCUUUUAUUCAAUUCAACUUGAUACUGAAAGGCAUGUGGAGAGCUGACACAUUAGCACUCUGUCAGAGUCUGUGACAACACCUUACAAUAAGACUCUUUUCUUUGUUUAUAGAAUUUAAAUGUCUCGAUGAUUAGAACUUUUCCUUUCUUUUCAGAAUAAAAUUGUUCAGUACCGACUUUUCUUGUAGUGAGGAGAAAGAAAUAAAAGCAACCCUAUUUUCUAUUACAAAUUAUCAUAAAUAUUGGAGAUGCAGAUUUUUCUUAGGUCAUUAGCAUAUCAUGCUGCGACCCACACCAGAAUGUACCAUUAACAAAGCAGCCUUCAUGUAAUUAAUGUAAAUAAUAUGGAACUACAGCUUGAGUUACCCAGUCAGCCUUGGCGAAAAGCAUUUGUCAUAACGCAUCGUCUGAGGAGCUCAGCCUCAAUUCAAAUUCAACUUCAUGGCUUGCCCCUUCAUUUUUUUAAUUUUUAUUUAUUAUUUAUUUAUUUAUUGCUUGUGCUAUAAAUUUUUGUGAAACAUUUAUGACUGUAAAUUUCUAUGGAAUACCUACAUAGGAGAAGAGAGCAAUCCAAUAAGCUGAAAUUAAAAUUUUAUUAUUUACAGUGCUUCUGCUGGUGAGGACAAUUAGUGUAUUCACAAGGCCACAAAUGCAGAUCCUGGGAACCAGCUGAGGGCCUCUCCCUGUCCUCACAAGUGUGCUCUGUCCUCAUCUGCUGCAGCAAAUCUAAAGGAUGGUCCUGUCGCCAUUUGCUGCGAUUGCCCUCUGACUCCAAAACACAGAGGAGCAUUGUAAAUUUUUCAUGAAGAGGUUUCAGUCUGUAAAACAGC
rnacentral:lncRNA from 1 species